rnacentral:lncRNA from 1 species
UGAUUGGUUGAAGGAAUUUGAAUACCUUAAAGGGAAAUUAAUUGAUGUCUCUAUUAUUGUCACUCCAGAUUGGUCAAAGUCAUUUGAGAUUAUGUGCGAUGCAAGAGGAGUGGCACUUGGGUCUAUGAUUGGCCAAAAGAGAGAUAAGCUGUUUCAACCCAUUUAUUAUGCAAGAAAGGCCUUAAAUGGAGCUCAGAAGAACUACACUGUUACUGAACAGGAACUUCUUGCAGUUGUCUAUGCCUUUGAGAAGUUCUGGGCUUACCUAUUGGGAACCAAGGUGGUGGUUCAUACAGACCACGCCGCUUUGAGAUAUUUAAUGGAAAAGAAGGACGCUAAGCUAAGGUUAAUCAGAUGGGUACUGCUCCUUCAAGAAUUUGACUUUAAAGUCAAAGAUCAGAAGGAAUAUGAGAAUCAAGUUGCGGACCACUUGUCCAGACUGAAGGGAGGUCAAACACUCAAGGAUGAGCUAGAAAUUGAUGAUGCAUUUCCAGAUGAGAAAAUCUUAGCUGCUAUAAUAGAAAGAAUACCUUGGUACACAGACUUUGCAAACUAUGUGGUGAGUGAGGUUAUUCCAGAGAACCUUUCUUUUCACCAAAGAAAGAAGUUUCUUCAUGAUGUUACACACUACUUUUGGGAUGAGCUAUAUUUGUUUCGGUGUUGUGCAGAUAAUAUUAUAAGAAGGUGUAUCCCAAAAAUGGACAUGCUGAAUAUUUUGGAAGCUUGUCAUUCUUCUCCGAUUAGUGGUCACCAUGCAGGUGACCGGACUGCCAGGAAAGUGUUGCAGAGCGGCUACUAUUGGCCGACUUUAUUCAAAGAAGUGUAUGAGUUCAUGCGGAGAUGUGACCAUUGCCAGAGACAAGGGUCAAUCUCAAAGCAUCAUGAGAUGCCUUUGUCAAAAGUAUUGGAAGUGGAGUUGUUUGACAUCUGGGGAAUCGACUUCAUGGGACCCUUUGUAAGCUAAUAUGGAAUGAAAUACAUUCUAUUUGUCGUUGAUUAUGUAUUUAAAUGAGUUGAGGCUAUUGCCUUGGCCGAUAAUGAAGGGAAGAGAGUCGUUGCGUUCCUUAAGAGAAAUAUAUUCUCUCGUUUUGCGAUGCCACGCACCAUCAUAAGUGAUAGUGGAUCACAUUUUUACAACCGAGUAUUUAGGACUGCCUUGGUAAAGUAUAGUGUUAAGCAGCAUGAGGUGGCAACUCUAUACCACCCACAGAUUAGUGGGCAAGUGGAGAUUUCAAAUAGAGAGAUUAAAGCUAUUCUUGCCAAAACGGUGAUAGCGAGCAGACAAGAUUGGUCCAAGAAGCUAAAUGAUGCUUUGUGGGCAUACAAAACAGCUUUCAAGACACCCAUUGGCAUGUCACCGUACCAAUUAGUCUAUGGAAAAGUAUGUCAUUUGCCGAUCAAAUUGGAACACAAGGCACUGUGGGUACUUAGGAAGCUAAAUUUGAAUUGGAAUGAGGCCACAAAGUUGAGAUUAGGAUAGCUGAAUGAGAUGGAUGAGUUCCAUCUCGGAGCGUAUGAAAGAGCAGACCUAUACAAUAAGAAGAUAAAGAGGUACCAUGACUGGAGGAUUGCAAAGCGAGACUUUCAGAAAGGUUAUUAGGUACUUCUCUUCAACUCUAGAUUGAAGUUGUUUCCAGGUAAAAUUAAAUCAAAAUGGUCUGGCCCAUUCAAAGUUAACCAAGUCUACUCAUCUGGAGUAGUUGAACUUGAAAAUGAGGAUGGAAGUGUCUUCAAGGUUAAUGGGCAACGAGUGAAGUUGUAUAUCGGUCCAAUAAAUUUGAUAAAGUGCAUAGCUACUAUCUAUAUCGAUGAAGUCUAGGUAAUUAAGAUAACUGAGUCGUGCCACGACAUUAAAUUAGGCGCUAGUGGGAGGCAAUCCACAUAGUGUUGCUGUAAUCAUAGUUAGAAUUUAUUGGUUGUUUUUGUGCAAUUUGAUGUGUUUGUGAAGUAUGCAGGACUUGAAUGCAGAAAGAAAAGAGUUCUACAAUUGAUAGGGGGUCGUCGGGAAGACUGAUGGACCGUCGCUAGAACCGUCAAAGCCAUAAUCAAAAAAUAGACAUUCUGGAUAAGGCUUGACGGUCGAGUUGACGGUCCGUCGCUGGUUCGACAGACCGUCACUCCCUUCGUCAACCAGAGGCUAAAAUUCGAGGUCACUGGAAUAGAUUGACUAGAAGGUCGACGGACCAUCGGGCCAACCGUCGCAGUAAAGCAGGAUUGAUGAGUUUUUGGUAAGCCAUGACGAUCAACCUGGCGAACCGUCAAACACCUGACGGACCGUCAGUUUAACCCUAGUUACGGUUCAGGUCGGGUUAAUUUUAAGGCUUAUUUAAAUUGCCUGUAUCUGGCCUAAAUAUUUUUAAAAUGAUAAGAAGAGACGGUUACAUAUGUUGGUAACUGUUCAAGUCCUAAAACUGUUUAACUUUCUCUGUACUCAAAGUAUCUGGGGUCAGUUAUUCCCUUUUAGGACUCUCCCUCUUCCUUUUCUCUUCUAUUUAAACAAUACCUUUUCCCUCUCCUUCUCACCACAACAAAAGCUAUCAAUCAUUGACAAAGGCCUUAAGUUUUCUCUAUUUUCUGAAGUUACAAGUGAGUAGAGUAAAGUUACUGUACCAUCAAGGUAUGAUCACAACCUUAUUCAUCUGCUUGGUAUUGCUAAAUUUGGAGAAAGUAAGUUUGUAGUUGUUAAAGAAAAUACUCUCUUGUUUUUGCUUUCUUUGGACUAUAAUUUCAAAGUCGAACUCUACUGUACAUUGUUCUAGGUGAAGUCUGAGUAACCCAUAUAUUGAAAGUGAGAAAAGUGGUGAUUAGCCACUAAGUUCAUGCCAAUUAUUGUGUUAAAAAAUAAUAUUUUACACUAGGUUUUCAACAAAAUGUUGAAGUGAAGUCCGAAACUGAAAAGGGC